rnacentral:tRNA from 1 species
GCCAUGGUUGCUCAAAAGUUAAGCACUUGAUUGCUAACCAAAAGGUUGGUGCUUUGAACCCACCCAGUGGCU